ensembl:lncRNA
GUGUUGGAACGAAGGAAAAUGUAUAUUAACUGCCCUUGUGGAAGAAGGUGAGAGCUGAGCUUGGAAGGAAGUUUGCUGAUUCAGAGCUGGAGCCCGGAGUGCCCGGGGUGUCCUGAGGCUGUACGUUUAGGAUGUCUCUAUGGCUGUUGAUUUGAAACCGUGCAAGACGUUCUGGUAGCCAACAAAGGAAAGAGUCUUCAGUGUACUGGAAGGCGACUGACUGGCAAGGGAAUCUAGGUAGCAAAAUGUUAGCUUUGCCUAGAUUCCUCCACUAACAGCACUUUCUGGAAGGGACGGCUUCAUCUCUGUCUCCAACACAGCUUUCCUACAGGAUCCUUUCAGGGCUGCAUGCCUCACUGCUAUGAGCGACCUUAAUUGGAAAGGAAAACAAAAAACCGCUGCGGAAUUCCAUUACUAAAGCUUUUCAUCCCAACGGACAAGAAGCCGUCGCGGAUCUAGACUCAGGCUGUGGCCCGCGGCGUUACCUUUGGCUGGCCUCGAAGCACGCGGGCCGGGUUGCUCCGAGGCUGGGCCUGGCUGACUCUGCCCGAGCGACGGGACGGCAGCGGGCGGCCCGCCGCCCAGUGGCCCGCACACCGGUCCGCAGAGACCUCAGCCCGGGAGAGACGCCGGAGCCGGGUGCCCGGGCGGGACUGCACCAACGUUCGCGCAGCUGCUCCAGAUGCAGACGCGGGGGAGAAAGCUUACGAAGAUGGGGUCCACUCGCUCUCCGAAGCCGGGGAGGAAGGAUCAAUCCCGCGGGUGCUGGGCUUGAGCAGGAUGGCAUCCGCACCGGAGGGCGAUGCCCUCGAGGGACCCAGCGCUCCAGCUUCCAGGGCCAAGUCGGGAGGAUGCAGCGCCUCGGGGCCAGGGGCACUGAGCGAUCCUCGCCGCGCGUCGGUCGGUUCUUGGUCCGUUUGGGGGAGUGCACGGGGUUUUGAGAUUCUACUGAGAGGAGAGGCCUCGGCGGCUGGAAGAGCUCAAGAAGCAAGCACCCAGGGGAAAGCGGCUUCUCUGAGGCGGAGUGGCGGCUUGGGAGCUGGGUGGGGGUGUCCCGGCCCGGGGACAGGCCCCGAGAAGGUCUUACGGAGCUGGUAGCCACUGCCUCGCCCACAGUCUCUGGAGUUACAUCCCAAGGCAAACGGGCCUUCGGCCACUCAAGCCUAAAGCACCGAAGCCACUGCGAGCACCCCGCCUCAACACUUGUCACCCGAGCUCUCUCUCCUCCAGUUUUCUGCUCCGCGCACAGGUCCGCGGCCCUGAUCCCUAGACCCGCCGGGCCGUGAGCGCUGGCGGCUGUCGGAGUCCCGGGCCGCCCCUCCUCUCCGUGGGCCUCUGGGUCGCCCGCACCGCGCCGGCCGCAUCCUUGUCCGCGAUACUGCAGAGAACAGGACUCGGUCUCCAAGCACCCAACAAGGGCCCUGGCUGGGGGCACAGGUCAAAGCCGCAGUGUAGCCGGGGUGGAGGAGCCUCCAUUCCGGGGCCGUCUAAGCUCCGUCUCUGGGAAGCUUGGAGGGAGACCUGGGACCCGGUUUGAGAGUCCGGCGCGGGAGGAAUUCUGUGGAAAGGUCAUCACUGUGGAUCCCCUUUCAGCUUCCCGGAGUCUCCUGAACUUCCUCCAGGUCUCCUGAACUCCAGCUCUGCUUGCAUGUGUUCAUCCUAGGCUGGACCUUGGAAAGACCUAAACGGAUCAGGCCUGGGAUCGCAAGGAGUCUCUAACCUUGGUGUGCAGCUGGGCAAAAUAUCCCGCCUUCUCCUCCAGUGCCUGCUGGGAGAAUAGACACUCUCUAGGGAGCCAGGAACGCCUCCCAAGGGUCAGGGCGGCUAGACAGUGCACUGCCGGGCACUAAAGUGAGGUCCACGGGCCAGUAGUAUCAGCUCCACUCUGCAACAUCACCCUCCCUACUGCAGUAUUUCAGGCCCCACCCAGGCCUCCUGUAUCAGAAGCUGCAUUGAAGAUGGUGGUCCAGGGAACUGACACUCAUCUCAGGUGGAGAAGCCUAACUUAGAGAACCUCAGUUUAGCCACAGCCCACACCUUCCACCUCCUGUCUCCCAGCUGGAUUGCCACCAUCUGUCAAAUGGUGUCCUGCGGAGCUCUUAAAGCCCCCACUGCAGACCAGUGAAUUUUGAGUUUCUAGGUGGUAGAGUCCAGGCAGGAAUGUGGUUUUAAGUGUCCGCAGAUGAUUUUAACAGCAGCCAGGAAUAACUGUCAUGGAAAUACCCAUUUAACAAACUAGCUAAGGUAGGUCUGAGAUCUGUGCAAGAUGGUAAGGAAAUGGUUUAAGGCCCCUGGGCUCUGUGUCCUGAUUCACUGUAGCUCUGGCAGGUGUGGCCUUGAGACAGCUAAUUAAUCUUGCUGUGCCUCAAUUUCCUCACUUGUGAAAUGGAGUUAAAGAUGUCUACCACAAAGGGAGUAGUGUGGUUUUAGAAUCAAAUGUUUAGAAUCAUACUCAAUAGAUACUCACUUAUAAGGCCAAGUCCCUCAAUUUCGUUUUAACUCAAAAUGGCAGAACGCCCAUUUAUCUCACUCCUCUUCCCGCCUGCCAUGAGCAGUCCUCUUCUAUGGCACAGUGGCUUGAUUUUGCUUCAAAAUUCAUAUAUAUUUUCAACAUUUUCAACGUGAAAACCUGUAUUUUGAAUUGCUUAACAACGUAGUAAACCUAACCCUUUGCAGACAUUGAUUUUGCUGGUUCCAGUAAUUUUAUUCCUAUUCCUUUGGCUUUAGAAGCACCAAUGAAGUGUGCUUCUAGCUCUAUGUCUGGACAGGACAAUCACAGCAUUCAGAUACCCUGAUGGCUUGUUAAAAUAUCCUGAGAGAAAGGGCCCCGCCCAGAGAUGCUGCAUCUGUAGGCUUGGAAAGCAGCAGAGUAGUUGUAUAUUUGACCAGUCCCCGAGUCAUGUGGCUGCUUCUCUUCAAAGGGGACCAUGCUUUGAGAACCGUAGUAAUGGUCUCAGAUCAUCGUAGAAAUCUCAACUUCAGCACUGUCUGAUAGGACUAUAAAGCAAAUCACAAUUGUAAUUUUAAAUAUCCUGGUAGCCACAUUUUAUUAAUUUUUGUAUAUUUAUUUUUAUUUAAAUGUUUUUAACAUAUAACAUGGUACAAAUUUAAGAGUUACAGCAAGUUAACUUGAUAAUUUACAUAUUGUAAUGUGAUUACCAUUGUAUUGAUAGUUACCUCUAUCAUGUCACAUAAUUAUUAUUUUUUUAAUAAUUAUAAAUAUAGACAACAAAGGAAGCCCUUUGUUGUCUAUAUUUACUGUAUAUUCCAUUAGAUCUCCAAGAU